rnacentral:lncRNA from 1 species
CAAGAAUACUUUCUUUAUAGAAGUAUAGAUCUGCUGGUUAUAGAUUUUUUUUAAUAACUUUUAUUAUUGUGACGACGCGCUAUAAAAUUCAGAUUAAUUUAGAAAUGAAGUUGUAUUAUUAUAAAAUUUUUGGUCAUAAACACAAAUCUUUUAAACAGUUCGACGAGUGCGUCAAUGUUACAGUAGUCUGUUUACUGUAAGAUACUAAGCUUAGCCCGAUUCAUCUGUCAUUUAUGGAAACUAAUUCACCAC